rnacentral:rRNA from 1 species
GCUACGACCAUUUCAUCCUGAAUGCCUCCGAUAUGGUCUGAGCUUGUGAAGCAAACUGGUGUCGAGUCCUGGUUAGUCGCGUGGAUGGGAGACUGCCUAGGGAUACCAGGUGUUGUUAGGA